AUGUCUAAUGUUUUUUCGCCUGGGGAAUUAAUCGGACUAUUGCGAGCGGAACGAGCAGGGCGAGCUUUGGAUGAAUCGGUCUAUUAUCGGGCAAUCUUAUUGGGAAUAACAAGGGCUUCCCUGAAUACCCAAAGUUUCAUAUCUGAAGCAAGUUUUCAAGAAACUGCUCGAGUUUUAGCAAAAGCUGCCCUACGAGGUCGCAUUGAUUGGUUGAAAGGCUUGAAAGAAAACGUAGUUCUGGGGGGGAUUAUACCUGUUGGUACCGGAUUCCAAAAAUUUGUGCAUCGUUCCCCACAAGACAAGAACCUUUAUUUCGAAAAAAAAAAUCUAUUCGCGUCGGAAAUGAGAGAUUUUUUGUUUCUCCAUACAGAAUUAGUUUCUUCAGAUUCGGACGUAACAAACAAUUUUUAUGAGACAUAA
rnacentral:rRNA from 1 species